CUAAAACUUCGGAUGAGAUCUCGAGUUCUAAGCCUAAACCUGUUGGAAAGCCCAAGGCUAGCCCUGCCGCUUCUGACACUUGCCACCACUGCCAUAAGACUGGUCAUUGGCGGAGGAACUGCAAAUUGUACUUGGAAGAACUCAAAAAGAAGAAGGGAAGUAAGACUUCCUCUUCAGGGACUGAAAAGGACUAGGAAGUGUGCAAGAGGCGAAUUGGAUGCUCGCGUCAGCAAUGGUGCAAAAGUUGCUGUGUUGGCCGUUGGCGUUUACUCCUUAUCGCUACCCUCAGGAUUAGUUUUGGAAUUAAAUAAUUGUUAUUAUAUUCCUGCCUUGGGCAAAAACAUUAUCUCUUCUUCAUGUUUGGAAGAAGAUGGUUAUGAAUUCAUAAUAAAGAACAAGUGUUGUUCGA